rnacentral:rRNA from 1 species
CCUACGGGAGGCAGCAGUAAGGAAUAUUGGUCAAUGGGCGGGAGCCUGAACCAGCCAUGCCGCGUGGAGGAUGACGGCCCUCUGGGUUGUAAACUUCUUUUAUCUGGGACGAAAAACGCCCUUUCUAGGGAACUUGACGGUACCAGGUGAAUAAGCACCGGCUAACUCCGUGCCAGCAGCCGCGGUAAU